UACGUAGGGGGCUAGCGUUGUCCGGAAUCAUUGGGCGUAAAGAGCGUGUAGGCGGUCCGGUAAGUCCGCUGUGAAAGUCGGGGGUUCAACCCUCGAAUGCCGGUGGAUACUGUCGGGCUAGAGUGCGGAAGAGGCGAGUGGAAUUCUUGGUGUAGCGGUGAAAUGCGCAGAUAUCAGGAGGAACAUCUAUUGCGAAGGCAGCUCGCUGGGACGUAACUGACGCUGAGACGCGAAAGCGUGGGGAGCAAACAGG
rnacentral:rRNA from 1 species